rnacentral:lncRNA from 1 species
GUAUAAAAGCUUUUUAUGUGAGACUAACUUUUAAAAUUACUGAUAUAUACAGUUCUGCAAGUUUGAGAAUAAAAUGCAUGGCAGUUAUCUUUGAAAUCAACAGAAGUGAAACCCAGAAAUACGUUUUUUGAUUAAAAAAAAUUUUUGUCUGAAAAUAUCAAGGAAAUAGAGAAUAAAAUGAAUAGCAGGGAGAACAAUAAAUUUACUUGGCACAGCCAAAUGUUGGCAGAUACAAGGAACUGUAAGGCAAGACCAACAAAAAUGUGAUGGCAAGAAAAGAAAGAUGUUAACUUGAAAAUAAAGGAAAGAAAAAUCAACUUCUGCUGGUGUCUUUGUAGCAUGAACAACCCAUAAAAGAAUCUCACAUGGUGGUUUCUUAUUACCUGCACUGUCUUCAGCGUGGCACAUCAGUUGCUGAGCUGCAGACUGUGCUCAUCCAGGCAAAGUGGGAAGGACAUGAUUGAUUAGCCAAUAAAUGAGAUUCAUGCAAAUGGCCUCUUGGAAAUAUCUCGAGGCAACACAUUUGAAAAACUGUUCUCAUCAACCUAUAUACAAAUGUAUGUUGAAAAAUAUUACUGGGGCUCUCUCCUUUUUCAUUUGAAUAUGACAAGUGUUGGGGAAAAGGCAACUUUUGAAGAAAUUGUGACGGAUCAUAUUAUACUCUUCCACCUGUCUUGUGGAGCCCUAACAGUGCUUCUUGGCUCUUCAGCUUCAGUCAACAAACUGAUAGGUUCAUCACGAAAGCUCCUGUGGCCUGGAAGCUGUGCCAUGGACCCUCGUUUGCA